rnacentral:rRNA from 1 species
GUGAGGAAUAUUGCGCAAUGGGGGAAACCCUGACGCAGUGACGCCGCGUGAGUGAUGAAGGCUUUCGAGUCGUAAAGCUCUGUUAGGUGGAAAGAAACAUUCCGGCGCUAAUAUCGCCGGGACUUGACGGUACCACCAGAGGAAGCACCGGCUAACUCCGUGCCAGCAGCCGCGGUAAUACGGAGGGUGCAAGCGUUGUUCGGAUUUACUGGGCGUAAAGGGCGUGUAGGCGGUUAACUAAGUCAGAUGUGAAAUCCCUUAGCUUAACUAAGGAAGUGCAUUUGAAACUGGCUAACUGGAGUACAGGAGAGGAAAGUGGAAUUCCCAGUGUAGAGGUGAAAUUCAUAGAUAUUGGGAGGAACACCGGUAGCGAAGGCGGCUUUCUGGCCUGAUACUGACGCUGAGACGCGAAAGCGUGGGUAGCAAACAGGAUUAGAAACCCCAGUAGUCC